rnacentral:rRNA from 1 species
GACGAACGCUGGCGGCGUGCUUAACACAUGCAAGUCGAACGGAAAGGCGCUGCUUUUGUGGGUUGCUUGAGUGGCGAACGGGUGAGUAACACGUGAGUAAACUGCCCUUGACUGUGGGAUAACUUCAGGGAACUGGGGCUAAUACCGGAUAGGAGCUCCUGCUGCAUGGUGGGGGUAGGAAAGAUUCGGCGGUGUGGGAUGGACUAGCGGCUUAUGAGCUUGUUGGGGGGGUAGUGGAUUACAACGGCUUUGACGGGUAGCCGGCCUGGGAGCGUGACCGGCCACAUGGGGCCUGAGAUACGGCCCAGACGCCUACGGUACGCAGCAGUGGGGAGUAUUGCACAGCGGGCGGAAGCCUGAUGCAGCAACGCCGCGUGCGGGAUGACGGCCUUCGGGUUGUAAACCGCUUUCGCCUGUGCCGAAGCGUGCGUGACGGUAAUUGGUAAAGAAGCACCGGCUAACUACGUG